rnacentral:snoRNA from 1 species
CCCAGUAUCGAAAGUGACUAUGGCAUGACUUGCCAUAGUCAUUGAUAGUACAGGAACAGUGACUUUGAAUUUUUUUCCUGUGUUUGUUGGAAUACCGGUUCCUGUCAAACACUGUACAGUUGAAGU